rnacentral:rRNA from 1 species
AGAGUUUGAUCAUGGCUCAGAUUGAACGCUGGCGGCAUGCCUUACACAUGCAAGUCGAACGGCAGCACGGGGGCAACCCUGGUGGCGAGUGGCGAACGGGUGAGUAAUACAUCGGAACGUGUCCUGUAGUGGGGGAUAGCCCGGCGAAAGCCGGAUUAAUACCGCAUACGAUCUACGGAAGAAAGCGGGGGAUCUUCGGACCUCGCGCUAUAGGGGCGGCCGAUGGCAGAUUAGCUAGUUGGUGGGGUAAAGGCCUACCAAGGCGACGAUCUGUAGCUGGUCUGAGAGGACGACCAGCCACACUGGGACUGAGACACGGCCCAGACUCCUACGGGAGGCAGCAGUGGGGAAUUUUGGACAAUGGGGGAAACCCUGAUCCAGCAAUGCCGCGUGUGUGAAGAAGGCCUUCGGGUUGUAAAGCACUUUUGUCCGGAAAGAAAACUUCGGGGCUAAUACCUCUGGAGGAUGACGGUACCGGAAGAAUAAGCACCGGCUAACUACGUGCCAGCAGCCGCGGUA